rnacentral:piRNA from 1 species
CUUUCAGAGCCACUCGGCUAAGUC